AGACCCGAAACCCGGUGAUCUAGCCAUGGGCAGGUUGAAGGUUGGGUAACACUAACUGGAGGACCGAACCGACUAAUGUUGAAAAAUUAGCGGAUGACCUGUGGCUGGGGGUGAAAGGCCAAUCAAACCGGGAGAUAGCUGGUUCUCCCCGAAAGCUAUUUAGGUAGCGCCUCGUGAAUUCAUCUCCGGGGGUAGAGCACUGUUUCGGCUAGGGGGCCAUCCCGGCUUACCAACCCGAUGCAAACUGCGAAUACCGGAGAAUGUUAUCACGGGAGACACACGGCGGGUGCUAACGUCCGUCGUGAAGAGGGAAACAACCCAGACCGCCAGCUAAGGUCCCAAAGUCAUGGUUAAGUGGGAAACGAUGUGGGAAGGCCCAGACAGCCAGGAUGUUGGCUUAGAAGCAGCCAUCAUUUAAAGAAAGCGUAAUAGCUCACUGGUCGAGUCGGCCUGCGCGGAAGAUGUAACGGGGCUAAACCAUGCACCGAAGCUGCGGCAGCGAACGUAUCACUUAAAGCGAUUCAGCGGGUUACGAUUGACGGAGCGAAGCGACGUCAAAGCGUAUACAAAGUCGAGUCGGUUUAAGGAUACGUUCGUUGGGUAGGGGAGCGUUCUGUAAGCCUGUGAAGGUGUGUCGUGAGGCAUGCUGGAGGUAUCAGAAGUGCGAAUGCUGACAUAAGUAACGAUAAAGCGGGUGAAAAGCCCGCUCGCCGGAAGACCAAGGGUUCCUGUCCAACGUUAAUCGGGGCAGGGUGAGUCGACCCCUAAGGCGAGGCCGAAAGGCGUAGUCGAUGGGAAACGGGUUAAUAUUCCCGUACUUGGUGUUACUGCG
rnacentral:rRNA from 1 species